AUUGAACGCUGGCGGCAGGCCUAACACAUGCAAGUCGAACGGUAACAGGAAGAAGCUUGCUUCUUUGCUGACGAGUGGCGGACGGGUGAGUAAUGUCUGGGAAACUGCCUGAUGGAGGGGGAUAACUACUGGAAACGGUAGCUAAUACCGCAUAACGUCGCAAGACCAAAGAGGGGGACCUUCGGGCCUCUUGCCAUCGGAUGUGCCCAGAUGGGAUUAGCUAGUAGGUGGGGUAACGGCUCACCUAGGCGACGAUCCCUAGCUGGUCUGAGAGGAUGACCAGCCACACUGGAACUGAGACACGGUCCAGACUCCUACGGGAGGCAGCAGUGGGGAAUAUUGCACAAUGGGCGCAAGCCUGAUGCAGCCAUGCCGCGUGUAUGAAGAAGGCCUUCGGGUUGUAAAGUACUUUCAGCGGGGAGGAAGGGAGUAAAGUUAAUACCUUUGCUCAUUGACGUUACCCGCAGAAGAAGCACCGGCUAACUCCGUGCCAGCAGCCGCGGUAAUACGGAGGUUGCAAGCGUUAAUCGGAAUUACUGGGCGUAAAGCGCACGCAGGCGGUUUGUUAAGUCAGAUGUGAAAUCCCCGGGCUCAACCUGGGAACUGCAUCUGAUACUGGCAAGCUUGAGUCUCGUAGAGGGGGGUAGAAUUCCAGGUGUAGCGGUGAAAUGCGUAGAGAUCUGGAGGAAUACCGGUGGCGAAGGCGGCCCCCUGGACGAAGACUGACGCUCAGGUGCGAAAGCGUGGGGAGCAAACAGGAUUAGAUACCCUGGUAGUCCACGCCGUAAACGAUGUCGACUUGGAGGUUGUGCCCUUGAGGCGUGGCUUCCGGAGCUAACGCGUUAAGUCGACCGCCUGGGGAGUACGGCCGCAAGGUUUAAACUCAAAUGAAUUGACGGGGGCCCGCACAAGCGGUGGAGCAUGUGGUUUAAUUCGAUGCAACGCGAAGAACCUUACCUGGUCUUGACAUCCACGGAAGUUUUCAGAGAUGAGAAUGUGCCUUCGGGAACCGUGAGACAGGUGCUGCAUGGCUGUCGUCAGCUCGUGUUGUGAAAUGUUGGGUUAAGUCCCGCAACGAGCGCAACCCUUAUCCCUUGUUGCCAGCGGUCCGGCCGGGAACUCAAAGGAGACUGCCAGUGAUAAACUGGAGGAAGGUGGGGAUGACGUCAAGUCAUCAUGGCCCUUACGACCAGGGCUACACACGUGCUACAAUGGCGCAUACAAAGAGAAGCGACCUCGCGAGAGCAAGCGGACCUCAUAAAGUGCGUCGUAGUCCGGAUUGGAGUCUGCAACUCGACUCCAUGAAGUCGGAAUCGCUAGUAAUCGUGGAUCAGAAUGCCACGGUGAAUACGUUCCCGGGCCUUGUACACACCGCCCGUCACACCAUGGGAGUGGGUUGCAAAAGAAGUAGGUAGCUUAACCUUCGGGAGGGCGCUUACCACUUUGUGAUUCAUGACUGGGGUGAA
rnacentral:rRNA from 1 species